UAGCUCAGUCAGUUGAGCGUGGCGCUAACAACGCCAAGGUCGCGGGUUCGAUUCCCGU
rnacentral:tRNA from 1 species